rnacentral:rRNA from 1 species
GGGUGAGUAACACGUGAUCAACGUACCCUAAGGACUGGGAUAGCCAUCCGAAAGGAUGUGUAAUACCAGAUAAGACCACAGUACCGCAUGGUACAGUGGUAAAAGAAUUUCACCUUGGGAGCGGAUCGCGGACUAUCAGCUUGUUGGUGAGGUAACGGCUCACCAAGGCUAUGACGGUUAGCCGGCCUGAGAGGGUGAACGGCCACACUGGAACUGAGACACGGUCCAGACUCCUACGGGAGGCAGCAGUGCUGAAUCAUUCACAAUGAGCGCAAGCUUGAUGAUGCGACGCCGCGUGGAGGAUGAAGGCCUUCGGGUUGUAAACUCCUGUCAGGGAUUAGGAAUUUUGACCAAUCCCAGAGGAAGCACCGGCUAAAUUCGUGCCAGCAGCCGCGGUAAUACGAAUGGUGCGAGCGUUGUUCGGAAUCACUGGGCAUAAAGGGUGCGUAGGUGGUUAUGUAAGUCAGAUGUGAAAGCCCUCGGCUCAACCGGGGAAUUGCAUCUGAUACUGCAUAACUUGAGUUUAUGAGGGGUGAGCGGAAUUCCAGGUGUAGCGGUGAAAUGCGUAGAUAUCUGGGAGAACGCCAACGGCGAAGGCAGCUCACUGGCGUAAAACUGACACUGAGGCACGAAAGCGUGGGGAGCAGACAGGAUUAGAUACCCUGGUAGUCCAUGCUGUAAACGAUGGAUACUUUGUGGAGGGGGUUUGACGCCCUCUCUGCCGGAGCAAAUGCGUUAAGUAUCCCGCCUGGGGAGUAUGGUCGCCAAGGCUAAAACUCAAAGGAAUUGACGGGGGCUCACACAAGCGGUGGAGCGUGUGGUUUAAUUCGAUGCUACACGCAGAACCUUACCUGGGCUUGACAUGUAGGUGGUAGUGAAGUGAAAGCGGAGCGACCCUUCGGGGAGCCUACACAGGUGCUGCAUGGCUGUCGUCAGCUCGUGCCGUGAGGUGUCGGGUUAAGUCCCGUAACGAGCGCAACCCUUGUCCUUAGUUACAAGUGUCUAAGGAGACUGCCGGUGACAAACCGGAGGAAGGUGGGGAUGACGUCAAGUCAGCAUGGCCCUUAUGUCCAGGGCGACACACACGCUACAAUGGUCGGUACAAUGGGCAGCGCAGCCGCGAGGUGAAGCGAAUCCCAACAAAGCCGAUCCCAGUUCGGAUUGCAGGCUGCAACCCGCCUGCAUGAAGCCGGAGUUGCUAGUAACCGCGCGUCAGCCAUAGUGCGGUGAUACGUUCCCGGGUCUUGUACACACCGCCCGUCACGUCAUGGGAGUUGGUAACGCCUGAAGCCGGUAGUCUGACCUAACGGAGGACGCCGUCGAAGGCGGGACUGGCGACUGGGACGAAGUCGUAACAAG